ACAAACCUUCAGGGCAGGGUGCAAUUCCCGACCGGCGGUAUUAAGCAAACACUUGUUUGUUUUCAGCCCGUGACCCGUUGUGAAGCUGAGCUUUGCACGGUGGACUUGGUGAGAAUCCGAGGCCGACAGUAUAGUCUGGAUGGGAGAAGGGAGUC
rnacentral:ncRNA from 2 species